UAGACAUUCUCUGUAUCAGUUAAAUGAGUCUGAACUGGAUUUAGUUUAAACUGAAUUUUAGACAUAUCAGCAGUUAAGCACCCCAGAAGUUUUUGGACCAGCAUACUAGAUUUUCUUUUCCCUUCAUCUAAUGCAUCAUUAUUACUCAUUUUGCAUACUCUGUAACUUCUAAGUCAGCUUGGAAAGUAGCACUGAAAAAAUGCUUAAAUCUUUAUAUUAUUGAUGGACAACAAGCUACACUGAAGAUAAUAUACAGCUAUUUCUGAUUUCAUUUUUGAAAGUAUCAAAAUAUACGGUGGGAUUCUUGAUUGAGGCUUUAAACAUAUAACAAACAAGAAUAUCCCAUAAACACCCCUUAAGCGUUAUCUUUCUGUAUCAUGUUUGCAAAAAGGAAAAUCUGUUAGAAAAAGCUGUCAAAAUAUUUUCUUCUAAUCAUGAUAUUACUUUUAUUGCAUUGGCACACACUGUUUGCAUGGCUCUCUCUGGACAGAUGUUCUCUUGAACAGAUGAAACAGUCAGUUUCAUCUGUUCAAACACAUUUCUCAUGUUCUGUUUUUUCAGGGGUAACAAGGGGUUUGAGCAUCUCUUUUCUCAGUUCACCUCUGUGACACAGGAUCUUGACAGAAAUUGACCAGUUGUUUUUGUGGUGUCUGUUUUCCUGAAAUAAUCCCAUAACUGUUAUUUCUUGCUGCAUUUCCUUAACAGAUAAGAAGUAGCAGAGUAAGAAGUUGUGCUCUCUUUUCCAUGAAGAACCCUCAAAUUAGGAUGUCCACCUGGAAUGAGGGAAGUCAGGUCAAAAACAGAUUUCACCCAUUUCAGUGCAGGAGUUGAACCACUGCUUUGGGAACAUGUCUUAGUAUUGUCAGGUAUUUUUACGUGCUUUCUCUUCAAUAUCUGCUUCUGACACAGUUCCGCUUAAAUUUCUUUUUUUUAACAUUUAGUGCAAAUUCCUAUCAACAUCAGAAACGGAGAUGGAUUCACUUCUCAGAAUAUCCUACGGCAUGUGACAUGGGUAUUGCCUGAGAUCUGAAUCAUGGUCUCUCACAGCCUGAACAAGUGCCUUCCUCAUGCUUUGCAAAAGAUGAAAUGCCACAAAGUAAUGGGUGUGGUUUUCAGUUCACUAUUUCUUUGUCUAAGGGUACAAAACCAUCAGUCAAGUACCUUACAGAAGUCCAAAGUAUUUGACAUCCAAAAAUAUGAGUUAGGUAGAUGUUUUGAAUGCUAACCUAAUUCAUAUAACACAUAGGCACCUGUGCAUGGUGCUUCCCCAUUUACAUGUUUCUCUGUAACUGGCAACAGCUGCAUUUGCUGUGUGAAAAGGUCAUCUUGGUUGAUUUCCCAGAAGCUGAAUUGUUCCUGUGGUGUAUCUUUUGUCUGGUCUCUCCUCUCAGUCACUUAUUUACUUAUUUUCCAGUUUCUCCUCUUUUGAUGUGUGGGAAUGUUUGGUACCAUGACAAACGAACUUCACUUAGUUUGAUGGGUUACACUGAGUUUAAUGGCUUUUCCAAUAUUUCUAGCAUUUGUCAGGAAGGAAAAAUGUGGGUGAGGAAGCCUGUACAUUCCACAGAUAAGUGAGACACAAUUUGUAUGGAAAGGUAGUAUCUUCUGUUAGAUCAUCUAGAGCUUCAGAGAAAAAAGACAUUUUUUUUAAAUUUCAAGCUUCUGCCUUCUAAUUUUGAGGUCAACCAUCACAACUAAAACACUGCUACUGUGUUUUGUAAACUGUUGCAGUAAGUAGCAUUUUAAGAGGGUCUCUCAUUUCUCCUGUGCACCUGUUAUCUCAAAAAGCUGAGUGUCUACUCUUAAUUUAUGUUGUUUAAGAUAAAUUAAAUCAUAUCAAAUUUAUCAAAGCAAUUAUCACUCAAACAGUUGUCGAUUGGCCAAAUCCUUCUGUGAGACCUGUCAGUAAAAAUGCUAUCUCCAUUAAUACAAGCCCAAAUUAUUUAUAUCUCCAUUAUACUGGCCCGAAUUGAUAUCCUGAGGAAGUUAUGUCUGCCUAGAAGCUGAGGAAAUGUGACAUAAUGUGACAUGAAUUAUUUGGUAUUAACGCAUUUUGCUUCUUUCUGUGCCCAUGGGGAGGAAAUCACCACACUAGCACUAGCAUAUUCAUCAACAGCAAAGUAGAAAAUCCUGAAGGUAUGAAGAGGACCUCAUGUGGCCUCCUAUUUGGUCUCUUAUAUGAAGAAAUAUAAGCCUUUUUUUUCUAAAACUCAUUUAUUUAACUAAUCAGAACAUGAUAGAGCCAACUUAAAGUUUUGUUGAUUUGCCUUCUUCAUGCUUCACUCAUACUACUGCUAUUAAUAUUUCUACAAUUCUUUAUCUACUUGACUAUAUGUUUAUAGUGCUCAAAUAUAGUUUAAAAAAUACUUCAUUUAUUUACAAUUUAUAUGAUGUAUAUAGUCUGUUGGAGAAGUAAUUCUUGCCAUGUUAAAUGCUAGAGGAAAACAAUGAGGUCUCUCUAUUUGAAUUUCUUGCCCUUCACCCAGCAGAGUUGCCUGAAGCCCCCAGGACCUGUUUUAUGUUAAGGUGUUAGUUAUUAACAUUUUGUGUGUUUCAAAUAGCCAGAAAAGGAACUGCAAGAAGACACCAGCGGUUACUUAAAUCCCAUUGUGUAGCAAAUGGCAGAGGUGGGACACACAAAGGCAUGCUAGAGGAUAAAAUAACACUAUUGAGUGAGACACUGGAGACCCAAUUAAAUUUCACUGCAACCUUUCUACUUCUCCUUUAUAAAGCUGUCAUAAUGGUGGUUGGUCCUACAUUUUAAACUAAAGCUGCAGCUGUGUGAUUCACAUCCCUGACACAGAAACCAGGGUUUUAUUGUGUGUAACACCAUUGAUCUGACUUAACAUAACACUUGGUAAUUGCUAGGAAGCUCCAAUAUACAUCUGGCCAAUGUAAUUCUCAAAGGAGUCAUAACUCAAUCCAGUGAAAAUUGCAUUUCUUUGAGGAAAGUUACUUCCAUGUGAAAUUUUAACUGUUUGGCCUUAUCAGUUCAUAGGUGGUGACGUGAAAGAGUUGCAUGUGUUACUUUUCCAUGUCCUGUGUAAGCUCCAAACUGUGGAAUUGACUUUCAUUUCUCUGCAGUACACUUACUAAGAUGGUAUGUUGGUAGAAUUCAGGCCUGGAUCAGAUACAAAACACGAGAGCUCAGCUAGCAGUAUAAUUAAAGAAGAUUCAGGAAUUGGUGUACAUUUUCAAGUGAAUACAGAUUAACUUCAGAACAAGGGUAACUUUGCUUUUAUUGCAGCAUAACCUGUACCAGGUUGCAACAUAAUGCAAGUGAUAGUGCCUUGGAGCUGCCCAAAGCAUAACAAUGGAAAGUGUGGCUUAUUACGCCAAAAUUCCGUUUGCCUUUCCCUUUCUUCAAAGGAUAUAUUUCCUAUAGAAUAGAGUGAAAAGUGGUUAUAGCCUUUGAUAAUGUGUUCACGGAAGGUAAUUUCAUUUUAAAAUAUUUCUUAAAAUCUUGUUUUAUAGUAUACAGAAGUUUCCAUAUGGCUGCUUCACAGUAGAAAAUGAAUAUAUAAUUUUUUCUGGUCUUUUCCUAAAUUAAAUUCCAUUGUACUUAUUUAAUAAGCUUAGCUCAGACAUAUUGUCAUGUUUUCUGAUGGAAAACAUGUUUUUUUUGAUAUUUCUACCUAUCUCUUCUUCUGGAAUAUUCUAACAGUAAAUGACUAAUCUUCUAUUUCCAAAUCAUCUUACUAGAUGAGAAAAGUAGAUAAGCAGACAGCAGGUUUGUUUGGAUUUGAUUGGGGGAUAGGGAGAAAAAACCUCAACUAUUUUUCUCCCACUCCUUUUUCCCUGACCAUCUGGGCUUCAUAGAGAACAAGAAUGCCUUCUGUAUUUACAAGUUUAAACAAUCUCUCCUGAUGGGGGAGGGGUGGAAGAGUUUUUUGUAUAUUUGUUUGAGGGAUAUUAAGCAAGAGUUCUGCCUGAAGGACUUUUUAAAAUAUCCAUAACUAGAUAAUGUUGUUUAGUUAGUGCAGUCUUGUUUUUUUUCUUUUGUAUUUAGAGAUGAGCAUAUUUUGGAAUUUGCUUCCAAUGUAGUUAUUUAUAUUUUCUGCUGUGAAAAUAGCUUCUUUUUAAGCUUAAAAGUCCUUUUGUGGAGAAUGGAAAUCAAGAUAUUUGACUAUGUUAAUACAUAGUUGGUGGAAUUGCGAAGCACCUCUGCAUGGUUUUGAAAGUAAACUGUUGAAUACAAGAUACACAUAGCAGUAGAGAAGGAUCACAUUGUGGAAGCAUAUUCACACGGGGAUGGUGGUGUUAAUUUAACACCUCUCUUUAGAGUCAUGUUGAUGCCAGUGAACUUAAAGCAGCUAUUGACAGCUAAGCAUCUGCUAAGUUAUUUUGCUGUAGUAUGAGGUAAAGUCAGAUUUGGAAAGGAAAUGGCAAGUGGCAAAGCUAUGCUGUCAUACAUAAACUGGUAAUGUGCAUGUUGCCAGCAAAAGAACCCUCAGUUCUCUGUCUCGGGCAUUCCCUCUGUCUCAGACCUUUCCCUCUCAUGGGGAGACACAGGCUUAAAUUCCUGCAGGUAGAAGGUGGAAAUCAGCCUUGUUUCCUUUUCUAUCACAGAUGGGGUAGGAGGUGGAAUCAAAUAAUCAACACUUACUCCCUGUUUUGAAAGAAAAGGGGCGGCCGACAUUUUUGAACAGCCACCUUGUCAGUCCUCUGAUCCUCAAGCCCUGAAAAUAAGGACUGCAUGAUGUUUGUGGAGCUGUGAAAGAUAUAGAAAGAAAACAGGGAGCUGUUUAUCAAAGGCCUGUGUGCAGCUGGCACCUUUAACGUUAAAAAUGGGCAUCUGUGGGCAGAACUGUUUCUAGACCUGGGCAGCAGCUGAGGUUUUCACUGCCCCCAAGUGUGUGUGAAGUGUGUUCACUCAAGCUUAGAUGUCAUAGAUCUCUGUAACUUUGCAUGCAUUGCAACAUUCUUGGGAUUCAAAUUAUCUCUUCUGGCUUGAAGCAGACUGUGAAAAUCAAUCCACAGCAGUCUUCUUCAUCAGUCUAAGAACAUACAAAAUCACAAGCCACAGAAACUGAUUCCUCCCCCAGCUCUCUUAACAGGGUGCUAACUUCAAAGGUUGCUCCUGACCGUUGAAAUACCAACUGUAUUAAACAAGCGGCCAGAAUGCAAGCAACCAGUUUGAAUUGCUGGAAUUCAAUUAUAAGCAGCUGGCUUUACUUCUAACUGAGGAUCUAAUAGUAAAAAAAAAAAAAAAAAAAAAAAAAAAGCAGCAGACCAAAACAAAAUUCCAAACUAAAUCCGUCUGUUUCUACUCAAUGAAAGUUAAAUAGUAAGUGUGCCACUUUGAAGGCCAGAUGAAAGUUUCACUGUUCAGAGCAUGUGCAGCCUGUACAAACAGACAUUUACAAAGACAGAUGUCUUCCUACAGGAGGUAAAAAUAAAUUUCUCUAUGGGUUUCCUCUU
rnacentral:lncRNA from 1 species